CCUACGGGGGGCAGCAGUGAGGAAUAUUGGUCAAUGGACGAGAGUCUGAACCAGCCAAGUAGCGUGAAGGAUGACUGCCCUAUGGGUUGUAAACUUCUUUUAUAUGGGAAUAAAACGUUCCACGUGUGGGAUUUUGUAUGUACCAUAUGAAUAAGGAUCGGCUAACUCCGUGCCAGCAGCCGCGGUAAUACGGAGGAUCCGAGCGUUAUCCGGAUUUAUUGGGUUUAAAGGGAGAGUAGGUGGAUUGUUAAGUCAGUUGUGAAAGUUUGGGGCUCAACCGUAAAAUUGCAGUUGAAACUGGCAGUCUUGAGUACAGUAGAGGUGGGCGGAAUUCGUGGUGUAGCGGUGAAAUGCUUAGAUAUCACGAAGAACUCCGAUUGCGAAGGCAGUUCACUGGACUGCAACUGACACUGAGGCUCGAAAGUGUGGGUAUCAAACAGGAUUAGAUACCCCAGUAGUC
rnacentral:rRNA from 1 species